rnacentral:rRNA from 1 species
GACGUAGGGCGCGAGCGUUGUCCGGAUUUAUUGGGCGUAAAGAGCUCGUAGGCGGCUUGUUGCGUCGACCGUGAAAACCCGGGGCUCAACUUCGGGCUUGCGGUCGAUACGGGCGGGCUAGAGUUCGGUAGGGGAGACUGGAAUUCCUGGUGUAGCGGUGAAAUGCGUAGAUAUCAGGAGGAACACCUGUGGCGAAAGCGGCUCACUGGACCACAACUGACACUGAGGCGCGAAAGCUAGGGGAGCAAACAGG